rnacentral:rRNA from 1 species
AGAGUUUGAUCAUGGCUCAGAACGAACGCUGGCGGCAGGCUUAACACAUGCAAGUCGAGCGCCCCGCAAGGGGAGCGGCAGACGGGUGAGUAACGCGUGGGAAUCUACCCAUCUCUACGGAACAACUCCGGGAAACUGGAGCUAAUACCGUAUACGUCCUUCGGGAGAAAGAUUUAUCGGGGAUGGAUGAGCCCGCGUUGGAUUAGCUAGUUGGUGGGGUAAAGGCCUACCAAGGCGACGAUCCAUAGCUGGUCUGAGAGGAUGAUCAGCCACAUUGGGACUGAGACACGGCCCAAACUCCUACGGGAGGCAGCAGUGGGGAAUAUUGGACAAUGGGCGCAAGCCUGAUCCAGCCAUGCCGCGUGAGUGAUGAAGGUCUUAGGAUUGUAAAGCUCUUUCACCGGUGAAGAUAAUGACGGUAACCGGAGAAGAAGCCCCGGCUAACUUCGUGCCAGCAGCCGCGGUAAUACGAAGGGGGCUAGCGUUGUUCGGAAUUACUGGGCGUAAAGCGCACGUAGGCGGAUAUUUAAGUCAGGGGUGAAAUCCCAGAGCUCAACUCUGGAACUGCCUUUGAUACUGGGUAUCUUGAGUAUGGAAGAGGUAAGUGGAAUUCCGAGUGUAGAGGUGAAAUUCGUAGAUAUUCGGAGGAACACCAGUGGCGAAGGCGGCUUACUGGUCCAUUACUGACGCUGAGGUGCGAAAGCGUGGGGAGCAAACAGGAUUAGAUACCCUAGUAGUCC